UAAUCAAAUUCCUUCAUUCUCACUUCUCUCUCAUUCUCGUCUAAUCCUUCCUUUCUCAAAACCCUAGCUGCACAACCUUACACUUCUCACUUCUCUCCAUUUUCUCUCUUCUCCCUCUCUCCAUUCAACUCGUCUCUCACAUCCGUUUCUUCCAUCUUCAUAGCCCUGUUCGGAUCAUCAUUGGUCGCAAACGAAAAGUUCCAACACAUUCUUCCUGUGUUGAACACCAACGUUGAUGGAAAGCAGAAGAUCAUGUUUGCUCUUACCUCAACCAAAGGUAUUGGGAGAAGAUUCGCUAACAUUUGUUGCAAGAAAGCUAAUGUCAACAUGAACAAGAGGGGUUUUGAUUUCAAAAGAAAGAAGCAAGUAAACAAGUUUCUUUUUGGUGGAUUCAUAGAAGAGAAAAAAAGGUGGAUUCAUAGCUACCAUGUUUCUUUUUGGCCUACUAUUUAUGUUACAUCUAAAGGAAAUUUUCAGAUUGGAAGUAGUAAGUUUUUGCAUCAGUUCAAGAUAUUAUUAUUUUCAUUUCUUGGUGAAAAAUCCGUUGUACUAGGUUUUUGUAAGCUUAGAUAUUACUGAAAUCACUCAUCGCUUUGGGGAGGCAUUAUAAAGGGUUUCUUGCCCCAUAUAUGGUUAUUCUUAUUAAAUCUCACAUUAUGUUAGUAUGCUACAAAUCUAUUCCUGCAGGAAGAUGUUGUAAGAAAAAGUAUGAAGGGAGAUUGCCAAAGAGCCUCCACUA